UACGGAGGGUGCAAGCGUUAUCCGGAUUCACUGGGUUUAAAGGGUGCGUAGGUGGGAAUGUAAGUCAGUGGUGAAAUCUCCGUGCUUAACACGGAAACUGCCAUUGAUACUAUGUUUCUUGAAUUAUCUGGAGGUCAGCGGAAUAUGUCAUGUAGCGGUGAAAUGCUUAGAUAUGACAUAGAACACCAAUUGCGAAGGCAGCUGGCUACGCAAUAUUGACACUGAUGCACGAAAGCGUGGGGAUCAAACAGG
rnacentral:rRNA from 1 species